CUAAAAAGCCUUCAAAUGAGUCACAGGAAAUAGUCCAACCAGUAUUUGGUAAAAAUAGAAAUGAAACUUCAGUACAAAAGUCACUUUCAUAUGGUGCAACUGAAAAACCAACUGAAAAUAAUCAAUCUGAUAAAAAAACAAUAUUAGAAGUAUCCAAAGAACAAAACUCUAAACAGUCAGAUGAAGGUAAUUCAACAUAUAAGACAGACAAUUCUUUAAAAGAAAACUCUGAUAACACUUUAAAAGAAAACUCUGAUAACACAAGAAGUUCAUAUUCAAAUGUUGUUAAAAAAAGUGUUCCUCAAAACCGUGAUAACACUCAGGAUCCGAAUAAUAAUAAUAAUAAUAACAAAAAACUUGGACAUCAACAUCAAUACAAUGAAGAUAAAGAACAAAAAACUAAAGAGAAGACCAAACAAAAAGCAAUUCAACUUUUUGAUGGUGACCUGCUCAACAUUUAAGUACCAGAUCAUAACAAGAUUUUAAUAUGUUUUUAUAUUUGGGUGAAAAAAGAAAUAGAUGACCUUUAUAUAAUGUUUAGUCAUAAAGAUCUUGGUGAUUGGAAAAAACCUACUGUUCGCAUGAAAUGUCAAAAAGUAUUUUCUGACAAUAGUAAAAACUCGCUUGGCUAUCUUUACAAAGGUGAUCUAGUUUGUUCAAAGGAAAUAUUUAGAAUUAAAAAUUCUAUAG
rnacentral:lncRNA from 1 species